AGGUCCCACUAUAGGAAGCAUGCUAACGACAACCACCCUCCGCGAAACAAUACCUAACGGAGUGAGAGUGUCGAAGGAAAUGUGUGUGGGGGGCAGUUUUAAGUACGUAGACGCCAUGGAUGGCGAAUGGUGUAUGCUGCUAGUAAGAAACAGCAGUAUCUCUUAAAGAUUUUCUACCUCCAGCUGGC
rfam:Glossina fuscipes fuscipes unplaced genomic scaffold Scaffold111, whole genome shotgun sequence.